rnacentral:rRNA from 1 species
UACGAAGGGGGCUAGCGUUGUUCGGAAUUACUGGGCGUAAAGCGCGCGCAGGCGGCUAUCCAAGUCAGUGGUGAAAGCCCGGAGCUCAACUCCGGAACUGCCAUUGAAACUGUUUAGCUUGAGGACGAGAGAGGUGAGUGGAAUUCCCAGUGUAGAGGUGAAAUUCGUAGAUAUCAGGAGGAACACCCGUGGCGAAAGCGGCUCUCUGGGACGGUACUGACGCUGAGACGCGAAAGCGUGGGGAGCAAACAGG